rnacentral:rRNA from 1 species
AGUGAACGCUGGCGGUAGGCCUAACACAUGCAAGUCGAACGGCAGCACAGUAAGAGCUUGCUCUUACGGGUGGCGAGUGGCGGACGAGUGAGGAAUACAUCGGAAUCUACUUUUUCGUGGGGGAUAACGUAGGGAAACUUACGCUAAUACCGCAUACGACCUACGGGUGAAAGCAGGGGAUCUUCGGACCUUGCGCGAUUGAAUGAGCCGAUGUCGGAUUAGCUAGUUGGCGGGGUAAAGGCCCACCAAGGCGACGAUCCGUAGCUGGUCUGAGAGGAUGAUCAGCCACACUGGAGCUGAGACACGGUCCAGACUCCUACGGGAGGCAGCAGUGGGGAAUAUUGGACAAUGGGCGAAAGCCUGAUCCAGCCAUACCGCGUGGGUGAAGAAGGCCUUCGGGUUGUAAAGCCCUUUUGUUGGGAAAGAAAAGCAGCAGGUUAAUACCCCGCUGUUCUGACGGUACCCAAAGAAUAAGCACCGGCUAACUUCGUG